GCAUAUCAAUAAGCGGAGGAAAAGAAACCAACAGGGAUUGCCUCAGUAACGGCGAGUGAAGCGGCAAAAGCUCAAAUUUGAAAUCUGGUACCUUCGGUGCCCGAGUUGUAAUUUGAAGAUAGUUUUCUGGUGCUGGCCCUUGUCUAUGUUCCUUGGAACAGGACGUCACAGAGGGUGAGAAUCCCGUCUGGCGGGGUGUCCAGUGCUUUGUAGAUUUCUAUCGACGAGUCGAGUUGUUUGGGAAUGCAGCUCUAAGUGGGUGGUAAAUUCCAUCUAAAGCUAAAUAUUGGCGAGAGACCGAUAGCGAACAAGUACAGUGAUGGAAAGAUGAAAAGAACUUUGAAAAGAGAGUGAAAAAGUACGUGAAAUUGUUGAAAGGGAAGGGUAUUAGAUCAGACUUGGUGUUUUGUGAUUAUCUUCCCUUCUUGGGUUGUGCACUCGCAUUUCACUGGGCCAGCAUCGGUUCGGAUGGCAAGAUAAUGACAUUGGAACGUGGCACUACCUUCGGGUGGUGUGUUAUAGCCCUUGUUGAUGUUGCCUAUCUGGACCGAGGACUGCGGCUUCUGCCUAGGAUGCUGGCGUAAUGAUCUAACACCGCCCGUCUUGAAACAUGGACCAA
rnacentral:rRNA from 1 species